rnacentral:rRNA from 1 species
UACGUAGGGUCCGAGCGUUGUCCGGAAUUAUUGGGCGUAAAGGGCUCGUAGGCGGUUUGGCGCGUCGGGUGUGAAAACCUACAGCUUAACUGUGGGCUUGCUUUCGAUACGGGCAGACUUGAGGCAUGCAGGGGAGAACGGAAUUCCUGGUGUAGCGGUGAAAUGCGCAGAUAUCAGGAGGAACACCGGUGGCGAAGGCGGUUCUCUGGGCAUGUUCUGACGCUGAGGAGCGAAAGUGUGGGGAGCGAACAGG